GAAGAAGAAGGGGAAAAAGAAAAGGAAAGGAGGGAUAUUUGCACGAAUUGGAGCUCAAGUGUGGGGAUUUAUUCAUUUCAAAUUUUCAGCAAAGAGGUAAUGAGGCGAUUGGAAACGUCUAUCAGCCUAUCUAGCUUGUAGCUCAUACCUUGAGAAGGUCGAUUUUGAGAUAUUUGG